CCCUUAGAUGUCCUGGGCCGCACGCGCGUUACACUGAUGCAUUCAACGAGCUUAUAACCUUGGCCGAGAGGCCUGGGCAAUCUUGUUAACGUGCAUCGUGGUAGGGAUAGAUUAUUGAAAUUAUUAAUCUUGAACGAGGAAUUCCUAGUAAACGCAGAUCAUCAAUCUGCAUUGAUUACGUCCCUGCCCUUUGUACACACCGCCCGUCGCACCUACCGAUUGGAUGGUCCGGUGAAGCCUCGGGAUUGUGGUUCUUGCCGCUUUAUUGUGGCGUGACCGCGAGAACUUGUCUAAACCUUAUCAUCUAGAGGAAGGUGAAGUCGUAACA
rnacentral:rRNA from 1 species